AAAAAAAAAAAAAAAACUGUAAUACAAAUUAAGUUGUUUACUGGUUGCAUUGAGACGUUGCUUGGUUGAAGGUGUGAUUUGUUGGAUACAAUUUUUGGGCAGAUCAUUAUAUUGAAACUCUUCAUUGAUAUAUUUUUUGAAAGUUCAUUCUUAAUUUGGUGCCUUUAAUUUGUUGGCCCUAGUGUCACAUUACAUAAUUUCUAGUGAACUCAUUUUGUCUCUCUUGUCCUUAGAAU
rnacentral:misc_RNA from 1 species